rnacentral:rRNA from 1 species
GAUGAACGCUGGCGGCGUGCCUAAUACAUGCAAGUCGAGCGAACAGACGAGGAGCUUGCUCCUCUGACGUUAGCGGCGGAGGGGUGAGUAACACGUGGAUAACCUACCUAUAAGACUGGGAUAACUUCGGGAAACCGGAGCUAAUACCGGAGAAUAUAUUGAACCGCAUGGUUCGAUAGUGAAAGACGGUGUUGCUGUCACUUAUAGAUGGAUCCGCGCCGCAUUAGCUAGUUGGUAAGGUAACGGCUUACCAAGGCAACGAUGCGUAGCCGACCUGAGAGAGUGAUCGGCCACCAUGGAACGUGGACACGGUCAUGAGUCCUACGGGAGGCAGCAGUAGGGAAUCUGCCGCAACGGGCGGAAGCUUGACAGAGCACCGCCGCGUGAGUGAUGAAGGUCUUCGGAUCGUAAAACCCUGUUACUAGGUAUGAACAAAUGUGUAAGCAACUAUGCACUUCUUGACGGUACCUAGUCAGAAAGCCACGGCUAACUACGUG